rnacentral:misc_RNA from 1 species
GCGAGUAUGGCCCUCACGGGUCUAAUCCACCAUAAACACCUUUGUGAACCAGUCAGGGGGACUCGGCCGUGAAAGCCCAGGCAAUUAGCGGAAGGGCCCUCCUUUGCAAACCCGUUUAGAAGUCUUGAAAGUACUUUUGUAUAAUCUAGUA